rnacentral:lncRNA from 1 species
GUACCCUUAGUUUAGUUCAUGUUCUUGUUCUUCCUAUAGUCCAAAAAAUUGCCCCACAAAAAGAUUACCUUUACCUAGCCUUUUGCAGCCUAGAUCUGUUGUUAGUGAGUUUUAUCAAGUUCUUGUCCAACAGAUCUUUUGUUUUGGUUGCUGAGCUUUUUUCCCAUCAUAUGUUCUUCCCUUGUGUUCAUUCUCAUCACAGUUUUGAGAUCUGUCCCCUCCACCAAAUCGUGUUUAUCUUUGUAAUCCGGAGUCCAUUUUUGUUGUUCUUGUACUUGUUGGAAAGCUCUCUUCGUGAUGUAUCCAGUGGUAGUUUUUAGAUUUCAGUUCCAGUUUGUUGUCCACCCCCAAAAUACAGAUAUGUUCAUGUUACUCUGCUGCUCCAAAGUUUCAGCUCAUGUUUGGGAUUCUUGUGUUUUCCCUUUGUAAAUCUUGUGAGGAUUCCAAAGUGUGUGUCCAGAUCCAAGUACCUUGUUGAAAGUUUGUAAAAAAAAGGAUCCAAAAAAAAGAAAGAUCUGUCCAAGUAAAAGUGCGUGCAGGAAAGAAAGAAGAGAAAUCUGGGAUUGUCCUUCACUCAAAUAUUGUUUGACCCCAAUUUGUGUUAUAAGAGUUGAGACAAGUGUUGUUUUCCAAAUCCUUGCUUGCAGCUAAUCAGAUUCCUUUGUGUGUGUUGCUAGUCCUCAGUUCCAUCUUGUUCAGCAACUAAGGCAUUAGAAUCUUUUUUGGAUGAUUACUUGGUUUAGCAACAUCUAGAUUGCAGAUUUGUGUUUCUUUUGCUACAUAUAUACCCCACCCAAGCUCCACCAAAAUAGGCC